rnacentral:lncRNA from 1 species
AAGUGAGUCUCCAAAACUAAGUGAAAAAGAUGUGUUUUGAAGAAAAGGGAGUGAGCAACUGUGUUGAGUGCUGAAGACAGGUCAAGUAUAAAGAGGGCUGAGAUUGGACCACUGGAUUUGGCAGCAUGGAGGUACCUGAUGCCACCAAUUCCUGAGUUUUUCUGCUGUUCAGUGGAGUGGACUAUCGCCUUCAAAUUAGCCUGGCCCUGGGCAGGAAAUGAAGACCCUGAAUCAGCCCAUCAGAAGCAGGAGAUCCCUUUCGUCGACCUUCUCAUUCCAUCUCUAUGCUGGAGCAUUCUUGUGACCUAACCAUAUUGAAACUGCCUUUGCAAAAUAUGACUGAGACAGUGAAAGAGCUUUCCCUGGGCCAAGCAGAAUCUGUGCACAACCAUGCAUUCUAGAGCUUAGGACAAAGCACAAGUCUACUGUCUAGCAUCUGCCUGUGGCCUAGGCCAUCUCCGG